rnacentral:rRNA from 1 species
CGAGCCAUUCUGCUAAAUUAUUGGGCGUAAACGCACGCAGGCGGUUUGUUAAAUCAGAUGUGAAAUCCCCGGGUUACAUUUGAGAACUGCAUCUGAUACUGGCAAGCUUGAGUCUCCCCAUAGGGGGGUAAAAUUCCAGGUGUACGGUGAAAUGCGUAGAGAUCUGGAGGAAUACCGGUGGCGAAGGCGGCCCCCUGGACGAAAACUGACGCUCAGGUGCCAAAGCGUGGGGAGCAAACAGGAUUAGAUACCCUGGUAGUCCACGCCGUAAACGAUGUCGACUUGGAAGUUGUGCCCUUGAGGCGUGGCUUCCGGAGCUAACGCGUUAAGUCGACCGCCUGGGGAGUACGGCCGCAGGUUAAAACUCAAAUGAAUUGACGGGGGCCCGCACAAGCGGUGGAGCAUGUGGUUUAAUUCAAUGCACGCGAAGAACCUUACCUGGUCUUGACAUUCACGGAUUUUUCAGAGAUGAUAAUGUGCCUUCCGCAACCGUGAGACAGGUGCUGCAUGCUUGUCG